GAUGAACGCUGGCGGCGUGCCUAAUACAUGCAAGUCGAGCGAACAGAUGAGGAGCUUGCUCCUCUGACGUUAGCGGCGGACGGGUGAGUAACACGUGGAUAACCUACCUAUAAGACUGGGAUAACUUCGGGAAACCGGAGCUAAUACCGGAUAAUAUAUUGAACCGCAUGGUUCAAUAGUGAAAGACGGUUUUGCUGUCACUUAUAGAUGGAUCCGCGCCGCAUUAGCUAGUUGGUAAGGUAACGGCUUACCAAGGCAACGAUGCGUAGCCGACCUGAGAGGAUGAUCGGCCACACUGGAACUGAGACACGGUCCAGACUCCUACGGGAGGCAGCAGUGGGGAAUAUUGCGCAAUGGGCGAAAGCCUGACGGAGCAACGCCGCGUGAGUGAUGAAGGUCUUCGGAUCGUAAAACUCUGUUAUUAGGGAAGAACAAAUGUGUAAGUAACUAUGCACGUCUUGACGGUACCUAAUCAGAAAGCCACGGCUAACUACGUG
rnacentral:rRNA from 1 species